rnacentral:rRNA from 1 species
GACGAACGCUGGCGGCGUGCUUAACACAUGCAAGUCGAACGGAAAGGCCCUGCUUUUGUGGGGUGCUCGAGUGGCGAACGGGUGAGUAACACGUGAGUAACCUGCCCUUGACUUUGGGAUAACUUCAGGAAACUGGGGCUAAUACCGGAUAGGAGCUCCUGCUGCAUGGUGGGGUUGGAAGGUUUCGGCGGUUGGGGAUGGACUCGCGGCUUAUCAGCUUGUUGGUGGGGUAGUGGCUUACCAAGGCUUUGACGGGCAGCCGGCCUGAGAGGGUGACCGGCCACAUUGGGACUGAGAUACGGCCCAGACGCAUACGUGAGGCAGCAGUGGGGAAUAUGGCACAAUGGGCGGAAGCCUGAUGCAGCAACGCCGCGUGCGGGAUGACGGCCUUCGGGUGGUAAGCCGCCUUCGCCUGUGACGAAGCGUGAGUGACGGUAAUGGGGAAAGAAGCACCGGCUAACUACGU